UCACUGAUGCUCUGCCCACUGCCCAGCUGCUCUGCAAGCAGUCUUGAGGCUGGGUUUUGGUUUUAUUUGUUCCAUUACAUAAAAUAUUCAAACUUGAAAAAAAGACCAAAAGCCAUAAAAAUUACAAAUACCUAAAGAUAUUUUCAGAUAACAACAUUUCCCUUUUGCUCCUGCUGGACACGGUCUCUGCCCUUUCAGCUCGCAGUGCAGCAGUUUCCAUUUUGAGGUGCGAUGUUCUCAGGUCAGACCUGGACACAGGAACCUACCCAAAAUAGGGGUGUCCUAAGCUUGGUUCAUGAACCACUUGCAAGCUCCCCUCCAAGUUGCAGAAGGGCUGGAACUGCAGAAAGCUGAGAUAAGAGCCCUACCCCUUCCUUGGCGCGGUGAACACGAUAUGAAGGAUGAAGAGGAACUCAAGGAUCUCCUCUGCUGGUACCCUUGACUGCAACCCAGUUCUGCUUUCUGAAUUAGAAAGUUGAAUGUGAAACGGAUUAACAUAAAAACCUACAGAAAAGGGCAAGUGGCAUUUCUGAUGUGCCUGAGACACCCGUGCCCAUGUGACUCACAGUUCAUGAC